AUUGAACGCUGGCGGCGUGCCUAAUACAUGCAAGUAGGACGCAGUUGCGAAAGGGAGAGUAACGAGUAGGUAACUACCUAGUAGAGGGGGAUAACUAUUGGAAACGAUAGCUAAUACCGCAUACUAGUAGAUGGACCUGCGUUGUAUUAGCUCGUAGGUAGGGUAAUGGCCUACCUAGGCAACGAUACAUAGCCGACCUGAGAGGGUGGUCGGCCACCCUGGGACUGAGGCACCGCCCAGGCUCCUUAGGGGAGGCGCAGUUGGGAAUCAUCGCAAAUGGGGGGAAACCUGACCGAGCACCUGCGCGUGAUUUGAGAAGGUUUUCGGAUCGUAAAGCUCUGUUGUUAAGGAAGCGGUACUUAACCAGAAAGCGACGGCUAACUACGUGCCAGCAGCCGCGGUAAUUC
rnacentral:rRNA from 1 species